rnacentral:rRNA from 1 species
UNUGACUUGAGUGCAGAAGGGGAGAGUGGAAUUCCAUGUGUAGCGGUGAAAUGCGUAGAUAUAUGGAGGAACACCAGUGGCGAAAGCGGCUCUCUGGUCUGUCACUGACGCUGAGGCUCGAAAGCGUGGGUAGCGAACAGGAUUAGAUACCCUGGUAGUNCACGCCGUAAACGAUGAGUGCUAGGUGUUAGGCCCUUUCCGGGGCUUAGUGCCGGAGCUAACGCAAUAAGCACUCCGCCUGGGGAGUACGACCGCAAGGUUGAAACUCAAAGGAAUUGACGGGGGCCCGCACAAGCGGUGGAGCAUGUGGUUUAAUUCGAAGCAACGCGAAGAACCUUACCAGGUCUUGACAUCCCGAUGCUAUUCUUAGAGAUAGGAAGUUACUUCGGUACAUCGGAGACAGGUGGUGCAUGGUUGUCGUCAGCUCGUGUCGUGAGAUGUUGGGUUAAGUCCCGCAACGAGCGCAACCCUUAUUGUUAGUUGCCAUCAUUAAGUUGGGCACUCUAGCGAGACUGCCGGUAAUAAACCGGAGGAAGGUGAGGAUGACGUCAAAUCAUCAUGCCCCUUAUGACCUGGGCUACACACGUGCUACAAUGGUCGGUACAACGAGUUGCGAGCCGGUGACGGCAAGCUAAUCUCUGAAAGCCGAUCUCAGUUCGGAUUGGAGGCUGCAACUCGCCUCCAUGAAGUCGGAAUCGCUAGUAAUCGCGGAUCAGCACGCCGCGGUGAAUACGUUCCCGGGCCUUGUACACACCGCCCGUCACACCACGAGAGUUUGUAACACCCGAAGUCGGUGAGGUAACCUUUUAGGGGCC